GCCAGUGUGGCUCAGUGGAUAGAGCGUCGGCCUGCAGGCUGAAGGUUCCCGGGUUCGAUUCCGGUCAGGGCA
rnacentral:tRNA from 1 species